UACGUAGGGUGCAAGAGUUGUCCGGAAUUAUUGGGCGUAAAGAGCUCGUAGGCGGUUUGUCGCGUCUGCUGUGAAAACGCGAGGCUCAACCUCGCGCCUGCAGUGGGUACGGGCAGACUAGAGUGCGGUAGGGGAGAUUGGAAUUCCUGGUGUAGCGGUGGAAUGCGCAGAUAUCAGGAGGAACACCGAUGGCGAAGGCAGAUCUCUGGGCCGUUACUGACGCUGAGGAGCGAAAGCGUGGGGAGCGAACAGG
rnacentral:rRNA from 1 species